rnacentral:rRNA from 1 species
GAUGAACGCUGGCGGCGUGCCUAAUACAUGCAAGUCGAGCGAACAGACGAGGCGUUUGCUCCUCUGACGUUAGCCGCGGACGGGUGUGUAACAUGUGUAUAACCCACUUAUAAGACUGGGAUCACCUCGGGAAACCGGAUCUUACCCCGGAUAAUCUAUUGAACCGUAGGGUUCAAUAGUGAAAGUCGGCUUUUCUGUCUCUUAUAGAUGGAUCCGGGCCGCUUUAGCUGGUUGGUACGGUCACGGCUUACCAAGGCGACGAUGCGUAGCCGACCUGAGAGAGGGAUCGGCCGCACUGGAGCUGAGACACGGUCCAGACGCCUGCGGGAGGCAGCAGUAGGGAAUCUGCCGCAGUAGGCGAGAGCCUGGCGGAGCGACGCCACGUGAGUGGUAGAGGUCUUCGGAGCGUGAAACUCUGUUAUUGGGGAAGAACAAAUGUGUAAGGAACUAUGCACGUCUUGACGGUACCGAGUCAGAAAGCCACGGCUAACUACGUG